AUGAUGCAGGGCUUGUUUGUCAUACAUAUAUGUAACAUUUAUGGAUGGAUCCUUGAACAGGGCGGCAAGCUCGCAUUGUUUCGAGAAGGAUCUUGUAAUGGUCUUGGCAUAUUAUCGAAGCAUCUCGGUCAGAGGAGUAUGGCAGCAGGUUUUGGAGGAAUGUCAAGGCAUAUAUUUCAGUUCACGGUCGGAAUAAGAGAUAUGAGAUUAGUGGUUGGAGGAACUGAAAUGAUGAAGAGAAAUAGGGAAGAUUAG